UGCCAGCCGCCGCGGUAAUACGGGGGGGGCAAGCGUUGUCCGGAAUUAUUGGGCGUAAAGGGCGUGUAGGCGGGAUAGUAAGUCGGUGGUGUAAUGUCAGGGCUCAACCUUGACACUGCCUCUGAUACUGCUAUUCUUGAGUGCGGAAGAUGGAAGCGGAAUUCCCGGUGUAGCGGUGAAAUGUGUAGAUAUCGGGAAGAACACCAGUAGCGAAGGCGGCUUCCUAUUCCGUUUCUGACGCUGAUGCGCGAAAGCAUGGGUAGCAAACAGGAUUAGAUA
rnacentral:rRNA from 1 species